GUCCAUAUUAAAAUGAACUAUCUGAUCAGUACUAAUAAGAAGCAUCAUGUAAAGCAAUUCUCUUCUGGGAAUGAAGACAGACUUUCCUUUAAUGAAGAGGAGAAAGAAACAAUUUAUCAGAUUAAAAGCCUAACAGUUCUGGAAAAAAUCAUUCACAGUCUUCGAAGAGCUUUAGGAAACACUCUCAAGCAAAUCAAGAAGCAUAAAAGUUUGUUCAAAGGAGCCAAACACCACAAGAGGAAACAGAGCCUAAACUGAGAAACCAAGACCGCCCGAGGGGCCGUCCACUCACUGGCACCACUAGGAAGAAAAGUAUGACGGAAUUACCAACCACUCUGUGUAAAGAAGAAGCCUUUUAUUCAGAGUGCCAAAUAAAAUGAACAUAUUUAAAUAUUAAGUUAGAGGCAAUGUGGGUUU